UAGAUAUUUACUGAUUAAUAAUUAAGCUCA
rnacentral:piRNA from 1 species